rnacentral:siRNA from 1 species
UCCUUAAAUCCGUGAUGAGGGCAU